AUUGGACGCUGGCGGCAUGCCUUACACAUGCAAGUCGAACGGUAACAGGUCUUCGGAUGCUGACGAGUGGCGAACGGGUGAGUAAUACAUCGGAACGUGCCUAGUAGUGGGGGAUAACUACUCGAAAGAGUGGCUAAUACCGCAUGAGAUCUACGGAUGAAAGCAGGGGAUCGCAAGACCUUGUGCUACGAGAGCGGCCGAUGGCAGAUUAGGUAGUUGGUGGGAUAAAAGCUUACCAAGACGACGAUCUGUAGCUGGUCUGAGAGGACGAUCAGCAACACUGGGACUGAGACACGGCCCAGACUCCUACGGGAGGCAGCAGUGGGGAAUUUUGGACAAUGGGCGCAAGCCUGAUCCAGCAAUGCCGCGUGCAGGAUGAAGGCCUUCGGGUUGUAAACUGCUUUUGUACGGAACGAAAAGCCCUGGGUUAAUACCCUGGGGUCAUGACGGUACCGUAAGAAUAAACACCGGCUAACUACGUGCCAGCCGCCGCCGUAACAC
rnacentral:rRNA from 1 species